CUGUGGAUAUAGCUCAGUGGGAGAGCACUUGCUCAGUAUGUGUGAAACCCUGGGUUCAAUUCCCAGUAGGAGA
rnacentral:tRNA from 1 species